GUAUGUGCAGCUGAUAAUUCAGGUUAAUAAAUUGGAACAGACCUCUAAACCUAUAAACAAGACAGCAUCAGGUUGACUCAAUGCACUCAGCAAGUUGUUCAGCAGGAAAACUUCAUCCUCACCUGGCACUUCAGGAGGAGUUCAUGUUUCCUGGGAACAACUGGGAGAUGAAACAUCUCACACCAACAGGGUGAAGAUGAUCUGGAUCUGUCUGCUUAUCAUUCUG